GGAAGUGAAACGGUCUGUACGCCCGCAGAGUACAUGGAGUGCGCUGACCGAGCCCUGGACAACCUGCUAACUAUGACGGACUUCAUUUGCCGCUGUGACACGCCGUGCAGAGUGACUCGCUACAACAAAGAGCUGUCCAUGGUCAAGAUCCCCAGCCGAGGGUCAGCGAGGUUCCUGGCCAAAAGGUUCAACACCUCCGAGCAGAACAUCAAGGAGAACUACCUGGUGCUCGACAUCCACUUUGACAGCUUUGAAUUAUGAAACCAUCGAACAGAAGAAAGCUUACGAUGUGGCCGGCCUAUUGGGGGACAUCGGUGGCCACAUGGGGCUGUUCAUCGGAGCCAGCAUCCUCACCAUCCUGGAGAUCCUCGACUACCUGUAUGAGCUGCUGCGAG